rnacentral:lncRNA from 1 species
CAUUCAAAGAAAGUCACCCUGGCCAUUACCAGAACCUGCAAUGCAAAUGUGCUAUUGUUAGAGGCUCUUAGAAGCUGUCUUGAGAGUUAACAAUUACCAGCUGUCCUUUUGGGCCGUAAGGACCGGAGGACUGUGGUCGGCAGACGUGCUAAGAGGACCACAGGCUGUGGCCCUGGGGGACGCCCUGGGAGCCUCGACCCCAGCCACCGAGGAAACCCCAAACCCCUCGGGGCGUCGAGAGGCGGACCGCUGUGAGUACAUGGAGCCACAGGGAGCCUCAGAGCGCAGAGUCUGGGCAGACUCUGGUGGACCUGCCCAAACUUUAAACCCUUCAGUACUGGUCAUUUUCCACUGCUGGUAUUUAUAACUGGAAAA